UACAGAGGUCUCAAGCGUUGUUCGGAUUCAUUGGGCGUAAAGGGCGCGUAGGCGGGAUGGCAAGUCGGUCGUGAAAUCUCUCGGCUCAACCGAGAAACGUCGGCCGAUACUGCCGUUCUUGAGGGAUGCAGAGGAGACUGGAAUUUACGGUGUAGCAGUGAAAUGCGUAGAGAUCGUAAGGAAGACCAGUGGCGAAGGCGGGUCUCUGGACAGUUCCUGACACUGAGGCACGAAGGCCAGGGGAGCAAACGGG
rnacentral:rRNA from 1 species